CGAAUGGGGCAACCCAACUCUUUUGAGUUAUUGCUAACUGAAUACAUAGGUUAGUAAAGCGAACCCAGCGAACUGAAACAUCUAAGUAGCUGGAGGAAAGGAUAUCAACCGAUACUCCGUAAGUAGUGGCGAGCGAAAGCGGAUCAGGCCAGUGGUUUUAAUUGUACAACCAAAAUUACCUGGAAAGGUAAACCGUAGAGAGUGAUAGUCUCGUAUGGGUAAUGACGAUUAAAAUCCUUGAGUAAGACGGGACACGUGAAAUCCUGUCCGAAUAUGGGGGGACCACCCUCCAAGCCUAAGUACUACUGGGACCGAAGACU
rnacentral:rRNA from 1 species